GAUUUGUGCAAUACUGACAUGAUGAUGUGUUUGUGGCAGUUGUGGCGAAUAAUUUUUUUUGUUAUAGAGCAAAUAACAAAGAGAAUGAAAAGGAACAGAUGAAAGAGAACUGUUCAUGGAUCCUUUCAUGUCCUUUGCAGGUGCCUUGGAGUUGAUAUCCAUCUAAGAGAGUCAUAGUUAUAUAGCUCCCGAGUUCGGCGAUCAGUAUGAUUUCUCAACCCUAUUUCACUUCUUAAACUGGAUAUCUCAUCUACUCUUUUGCUAGACACGACCAUCACAUCGUCUAAAAUCUGGUCCACUAGAUCCCAUCAGCACUAGAAACAGAGUGAUAUCUCUGUUUGGCGGUAGGCUGUCCGUGUCCGAAAGCUGUGGGGAUUGCCGACAAGUUUGCCUCACAGGUCGGACGAUGGCCACAAACUCGUCAUCGGUGAAGUUGUUUUCGUUACGGUACAGAAUUAUCCUUCAACAGUGGGCAUGAGAUUGAUGGUUUGGAUUAUUUAGGUGUAUGUUUCUCGUAGAGCAUGUUAUGGGAUUAGUAAUAAACGUAGUAUUAAACCUUCA